rnacentral:rRNA from 1 species
AAGUUGACGGGGGCCCGCACAAGCGGUGGAGCAUGUGGUUUAAUUCGACGCAACGCGAAGAACCUUACCAGCUCUUGACAUGCAGGUCGGUUUCCAGAGAUGGAUUCCUCCCAGCAAUGGGCCUGAACACAGGUGCUGCAUGGCUGUCGUCAGCUCGUGUCGUGAGAUGUUGGGUUAAGUCCCGCAACGAGCGCAACCCUCGCCCCUAGUUGCCAUCAUUUAGUUGGGCACUCUAAGGGGACUGCCGGUGAUAAGCCGGAGGAAGGUGGGGAUGACGUCAAGUCUUCAUGGCCCUUACGGGUUGGGCUACACACGUGCUACAAUGGCGGUGACAGAGGGCAGCCACUUCGCGAGAAGGAGCUAAUCCCUAAAAGCCGUCUCAGUUCGGAUUGCACUCUGCAACUCGAGUGCAUGAAGUCGGAAUCGCUAGUAAUCGCAGAUCAGCACGCUGCGGUGAAUACGUUCCCGGGCCUU